GGCAAGAUGGCCGAGCGGUCUAAGGCGCCACGUUAAGGUAUAUUUCACCCUUAAUCAACAUCCAGAAAUUUCAGGAUUCCGUGGUCCGAAAGGGCGUGGGUUCGAAUCCCACUCUUGUCA